rnacentral:tRNA from 1 species
ACCUGGGUGGCUCAGUUGGUUGAGCACCUGACUUCAGCUCAGGUCAUGAUUUCACGGUUCGUGGGUUUGAGCCCUGCAUUGGGCU